AAAAAAGGUAAGCUACUAAGAGCGAAUGGUGGAUGCCUUGACUGGUAAAGGCGAUGAAGGACGUACUAGACUGCGAUAAGCUACGGGGAGCUGUCAAGAAGCUUUGAUCCGUAGAUUUCCGAAUGGGGCAACCCAAUGUAUAGAGAUAUACAUUACCUAUAUAGGAGCGAACGAGGGGAAUUGAAACAUCUUAGUACCCUCAGGAAAAGAAAUCAAUAGAGAUUGCGUCAGUAGCGGCGAGCGAAAGCGUAAGAGGGCAAACCCAGUGCUUGCACUGGGGGUUGUAGGACUGCAAUGUGCAAGAGGUGAGUUUAGCAGAACAUUCUGGAAAGUAUAGCCAUAGAGGGUGAUAGUCCCGUAUGCGAAAAACAAACCUUAGCUAGCAGUAUCCUGAGUAGGGCGGGACACGAGAAAUCCUGUCUGAAGCUGGGUCGACCACGAUCCAACCCUAAAUACUAAUACCAGAUCGAUAGUGCACAAGUACCGUGAGGGAAAGGUGAAAAGAACUGAGGUGAUCAGAGUGAAAUAGAACCUGAAACCAUUUGCUUACAAUCAUUCAGAGCACUAUGUAGCAAUACAGUGUGAUGGACUGCCUUUUGCAUAAUGAGCCUGCGAGUUGUGGUGUCUGGCAAGGUUAAGCAAACGUGAAGCCGUAGCGAAAGCGAGUCUGAAUAGGGCGCUUAGUCAGAUGCUGCAGACCCGAAACGAAGUGAUCUAUCCAUGAGCAAGUUGAAGCUAGUGUAAGAACUAGUGGAGGACUGAACCCAUAGGCGUUGAAAAGCCCCGGGAUGACUUGUGGAUAGGGGUGAAAGGCCAAUCAAACUUCGUGAUAGCUGGUUCUCUCCGAAAUAUAUUUAGGUAUAGCGUUGUGUCGUAAUAUAAGGGGGUAGAGCACUGAAUGGGCUAGGGCAUACACCAAUGUACCAAACCCUAUCAAACUCCGAAUACCUUAUAUGUAAUCACAGCAGUCAGGCGGCGAGUGAUAAAAUCCGUCGUCAAGAGGGAAACAACCCAGACUACCAGCUAAGGUCCCUAAAUCUUACUUAAGUGGAAAACGAUGUGAAGUUACUUAAACAACCAGGAGGUUGGCUUAGAAGCAGCCAUCCUUUAAAGAAAGCGUAAUAGCUCACUGGUCUAGUGAUUUUGCGCGGAAAAUAUAACGGGGCUAAAGUA
rnacentral:rRNA from 1 species